rnacentral:rRNA from 1 species
UACGUAGGGCGCAAGCGUUGUCCGGAAUUAUUGGGCGUAAAGAGCUCGUAGGCGGUCUGUCGCGUCGGUUGUGAAAGCCCACGGCUUAACCGUGGGUCUGCAUCCGAUACGGGCAGACUAGAGGCAGGUAGGGGAGCAUGGAAUUCCCGGUGUAGCGGUGAAAUGCGCAGAUAUCGGGAGGAACACCGGUGGCGAAGGCGGUGCUCUGGGCCUGUACUGACGCUGAGGAGCGAAAGCGUGGGGAGCGAACAGGAUUAGAUACCCCUGUAGUCC